GCCUAAUAAGAGACUCAGCUACUCAGGAGGCUGAGCCUGGAGGAUUCCUUGAGCCCAGGAGUUCUGGGCUGUAGUGUGCCAUACCAAUUGGGUGUUCACACUAAGUUUGUCAUGGAUAUCAUGACCUCCUGGGAGUAUGGAGCCACCAGGUUGCCUAAGGAGGGGUGAACGGGCCCUGGACAGAAAUGGAGCAGGUUAGAAUUUCUGUGAUUAGUAGUGGGAUCGUGCCUGUGAAUAGCCACUGCACUCCAGCCUGGAAAACAGAGUGAUUCCUGUCUGAA
ensembl:misc_RNA Metazoa_SRP Metazoan signal recognition particle RNA